rnacentral:rRNA from 1 species
UACGUAGGGGGCAAGCGUUGUCCGGAAUUAUUGGGCGUAAAGAGCGCGUAGGCGGUCCGAUAAGUCGGCUGUGAAAGUCAGGGGCUCAACCCUUGAAAGCCGGCCGAUACUGUCGGACUAGAGUCCGGAAGAGGCAAGUGGAAUUCCUGGUGUAGCGGUGAAAUGCGCAGAUAUCAGGAGGAACACCGGUGGCGAAGGCGGGUCUCUGGGCCGAUAUUGACGCUGAGGAGCGAAAGCGUGGGGAGCAAACAGG